GUUCUCUCAUACGGUCUCUCGUACACAUUUUUUUUUUUUACACAGUAACUUGGCCUGUUACCACAACCUUGGUAGUUAAUAUUGAUUAUGUGAGUACUGUCAACUGAGCUGUUGCUUCCACAGAGCAAUCUUCAUCCAGUUGGACAACUGAUGAGGUCACCAACCAGGAUCUUCAGGGUCUGAGAGGAUAAAUUCAGCUACUGUGCUGCUGGAGCCGACUUAACCGGAUUCCCCUUUAAAACAGGAACCUUAUGCUGAACGUCUCAGGAGAUCCAUGCAUUAAAACUCUGAGCAGAUGAGUGUUCAAGAGCAGCUUCUCGCCUAUAAAAACAAGCAUGUCUAUGCCAAAUUUAGUUCAGAGUUUGCUGCACAGAGUUUGCUGCACUUGGAUUUAACGGGACGUUGAAGCAAUGCAGAGAAAAGUAAAAAAAUCUGAAACCGGAAUAAAGAAACCUCAAGGAUGACGACAAGAUGAGUGGUUCCAUCUAUCUUGAAGAAAGCGGUUUUGUCGUCAUCGUUAGUCCUCACUAACCUAUCAAAAACUCAGGCUUAUUCCUUUCCAGGAGCAGAAGACUGUUCCCGGUUUAAAGCUGUCCUUGCUGUGUCUCCUUGCUCCACCAUUACGCCUGAUGUCAGCAUUCAGGUGGCAAGUGGCUCGGCAGCAUAUUCUAAAGCAUUAUGGGAAACUGGAGGAGUUUGGGACUUUGGUGACAGAGGUGGUUCCAGAGCUGCUGAGUUCCAGGCAGAGGACCCAACUCCUCCUGGGUCUGAGAGCAAGGGUUUGUGAGGUGGAAAUGCAAAGGAUUCUGAUAAAGUAUGGGCAGCUACAACUAACAAUAAGUAUGUUUUCCCCUGGGGCUGCCUCUAACAUGUCUACCUCUUUUUUCAGCUGGUUCUGGAGUUGUGACUCAGGGAGAGCACCGGUGACCUUGUCCAUCCAGCCUCACCUGGACAAAAUCCAUUUGU